GGAGCAUGUGGUUUAAUUCGAAGCAACGCGCAGAACCUUACCACCUUUUGACAUGCCUGGACCGCCAGAGAGAUCUGGCUUUCUCUUCGGAGACUAGGACACAGGUGCUGCAUGGCUGUCGUCAGCUCGUGUCGUGAGAUGUUGGGUUAAGUCCCGCAACGAGCGCAACCCUCGCCAUUAGUUGCCAUCAUUUAGUUGGGAACUCUAAUGGGACUGCCGGUGCUAAGCCGGAGGAAGGUGGGGAUGACGUCAAGUCCUCAUGGCCCUUACAGGGUGGGCUACACACGUGCUACAAUGGCGACUACAGAGGGUUAAUCCUUAAAAGUCGUCUCAGUUCGGAUUGUCCUCUGCAACUCGAGGGCANGAAGUNNAAUCGC
rnacentral:rRNA from 1 species